UGGGGAAUUUUGGACAAUGGGCGCAAGCCUGAUCCAGCCAUGCCGCGUGCGGGAAGAAGGCCUUCGGGCUGUAAACCGCUUUUGUCAGGGAAGAAAUCUUCUGAGUUAAUACCUCGGGAGGAUGACGGUACCUGAAGAAUAAGCACCGGCUAACUACGUGCCAGCAGCCGCGGUAAUACGUAGGGUGCAAGCGUUAAUCGGAAUUACUGGGCGUAAAGCGUGCGCAGGCGGUUUUGUAAGACAGAGGUGAAAUCCCCGGGCUCAACCUGGGAACUGCCUUUGUGACUGCAAGGCUUGAGUGCGGCAGAGGGGGAUGGAAUUCCGCGUGUAGCAGUGAAAUGCGUAGAUAUGCGGAGGAACACCGAUGGCGAAGGCAAUCCCCUGGGCCUGCACUGACGCUCAUGCACGAAAGCGUGGGGAGCAAACAGGAUUAGAUACCCUGGUAGUCCACGCCCUAAACGAUGUCAACUGGUUGUUGGGAAGGUUCCUUCUCAGUAACGUAGCUAACGCGUGAAGUUGACCGCCUGGGGAGUACGGCCGCAAGGUUGAAAC
rnacentral:rRNA from 1 species